rnacentral:rRNA from 1 species
GACGAACGCUGGCGGCGUGCUUAACACAUGCAAGUCGAACGGAAAGGUCCUGCUUUUGUGGCGUGCACGAGUGGCGAACGGGUGAGUAACAAGUGAGUAACCUGCCCUUGACUUUGGGAUAACUUCAGGAAACUGGGGCUAAUACCGGAUAGGAGCUCCUGCUGCAUGGUGGGGGUUGGAAAGUUUCGGCGGUUGGGGAUGGACUCGCGGCUUAUCAGCUUGUUGGUGGGGUAGUGGCUUACCAAGGCUUUGACGGGUAGCCGGCCUGAGAGGGUGACCGGGCACAUUAGGACUGAGAUACGGCGCAGACUCCUACGGGAGGCAGCAGGGGGGAGUAUUGCACAAUGGGCGGAAGCCUGAGGCAGCAGCGCCGCGUGCGGGAUGACGGCCUUCGAGUUGUAAACCGCUUUCGCCUGUGACGAAGCGUGAGUGACGGUAAUGGGUAAAGAAGCAACGGCUAACUACGUG